GAGUUUGAUCCUGGCUCAGGAUGAACGCUGGCGGCACGCCUAACACAUGCAAGUCGAACGAAAAUUUAGUUUUUAGAUUUUAGAUGUUAGAAUUUCGAUUCAUUCGAAUCUCUAACAUCUAUCGUCUAGUUUCUACUUUUUAGUGGCGGACGGGUGAGUAACACGUUGGAACCUGCCCCGAAGAGGGGGAUAACCAUCCGAAAGGGUGGCUAAUACCCCAUAUACUCCGAUUUAUUCGGAGGAAAGCUUUCGCGCUUCGGGAGGGGCCUGCGUAACAUUAGCUUGUUGGUGAGGUAAAAGCUCACCAAGGCUACGAUGUUUAGCUGGUUUGAGAGGAUGAUCAGCCACACUGGGACUGAGAUACGGCCCAGACUCCUACGGGAGGCAGCAGUGAGGAAUAUUCCACAAUGGGGGAAACCCUGAUGGAAGCGAUGCCGCGUGCAGGAAGACGCUUUUCGGAGUGUAAACUGCUUUUAACAGGGAAGAUUAUGACGGUACCUGUAGAAUAAGGACCGGCUAACUACGUGCCAGCAGCCGCGGUAAUACGUAGGGUCCAAGCGUUAUUCGGAAUUACUGGGCGUAAAGCGUUCGUAGGCGGUUUGAUAAGUUGGAUGUGAAAUCCUGUGGCUCAACCACAUGGACUGUGUCCAAAACUACAUGACUAGAGCAUAGUAGAGGCAAGUGGAAUUUCUGGUGUAGGAGUGACAUCCGUAGAUAUCAGAAGGAACACCAAUGGCGAAGGCAGCUUGCUGGGCUAUUGCUGACGCUCAGGAACGAAAGCGUGGGGAGCGAACGGGAUUAGAUACCCCGGUAGUCCACGCCGUAAACGAUGAUCACUAACAGUAUGGAGAUUCGACCCUCUGUGUUGUACAGCUAACGCGUUAAGUGAUCCGCCUGGGGAGUACGGGCGCAAGCUUAAAACUCAAAGGAAUUGACGGGGACCCGCACAAGCAGUGGAGGAUGUGGUUUAAUUCGACGCUAAGCGAAGAACCUUACCGAGGUUUGACAUCCCAGGAAAUCAAGCGAAAGCUAGAUGUGCCUUCGGGAACCUGGUGACAGGUGCUGCAUGGCCGUCGUCAGCUCGUGUCGUGAGAUGUUGGGUUAAGUCCCGCAACGAGCGCAACCC
rnacentral:rRNA from 1 species